AAAACUUUCAACAACGGAUCUCUUGGUUCCGGCAUCGAUGAAGAACGCAGCGAAAUGCGAUAAGUAAUGUGAAUUGCAGAAUUCCGUGAAUCAUCGAAUCUUUGAACGCACAUUGCGCCCCCUGGUAUUCCGGGGGGCAUGCCUGUCCGAGCGUCAUUU
rnacentral:rRNA from 2 species